CCAUGGAAACUACUCAUUAAAACAUUUCCCUUCAAUGAAAAUACCUGAAGGGCCACAAAAGGCAAACCUUCUCUGUUCCCAAGGCUGAAAGAAUUGAGGUCUGUGUGAGAACUUCCAGAUCACCUGCCUCCCUUGCAACCAACCACCCCAGUCCACCCCAUCAUUCAUGUCACCCUUCAAACUGCCCACCUGUUUGGAGAAGAUCCUGUAAUGAUUCUUGGUCUGAGAGAGUAAAGUUUCCGGCCGGUUGCAGCAAAAGGCAUACUA